AUUGAACGCUGGCGGCAGGCUUAACACAUGCAAGUCGAGCGGGGGAGGUUACUUCGGUAACUGACCUAGCGGCGGACGGGUGAGUAAUGCUUAGGAAUCUGCCUAUUAGUGGGGGGCAACAUUCCGAAAGGAAUGCUAAUACCGCAUACGCCCUACGGGGGAAAGCAGGGGAUCUUCGGACCUUGCGCUAAUAGAUGAGCCUAAGUCGGAUUAGCUAGUUGGUGGGGUAAAGGCCUACCAAGGCGACGAUCUGUAGCGGGUCUGAGAGGAUGAUCCGCCACACUGGGACUGAGACACGGCCCAGACUCCUACGGGAGGCAGCAGUGGGGAAUAUUGGACAAUGGGCGGAAGCCUGAUCCAGCCAUGCCGCGUGUGUGAAGAAGGCCUUUUGGUUGUAAAGCACUUUAAGCGAGGAGGAGGCUCCUUUAGUUAAUACCUAAAGAGAGUGGACGUUACUCGCAGAAUAAGCACCGGCUAACUCUGUGCCAGCCGCCGCGGUAAGAC
rnacentral:rRNA from 1 species